rnacentral:rRNA from 1 species
AUUGAACGCUGGCGGCAGGCCUAACACAUGCAAGUCGAGCGGAUGAGUGGAGCUUGCUCCAUGAUUCAGCGGCGGACGGGUGAGUAAUGCCUAGGAAUCUGCCUGGUAGUGGGGGACAACGUUUCGAAAGGAACGCUAAUACCACAUACGUCCUACGGGAGAAAGUGGGGGAUCUUCGGACCUCACGCUAUCAGAUGAGCCUAGGUCGGAUUAGCUAGUUGGUGAGGUAAAGGCUCACCAAGGCGACGAUCCGUAACUGGUCUGAGAGGAUGAUCAGGCACCCUGGAACUGAGACACGGUCCGAACUCCUGCGGGAGGCAGCAGUGGGGAAUAUUGGACAAUGGGCGAAAGCCUGAUCCAGCCAUGCCGCGUGUGUGAAGAAGGUCUUCGGAUUGUAAAGCACUUUAAGUUGGGAGGAAGGGUUGUAGAUUAAUACUCUGCAAUUUUGACGUUACCAACAGAAUAAGCACCGGCUAACUUCGUGCCAGCCGCCGCAGUAACAC